UAGGGAAUCUUCCACAAUGGACGCAAGUCUGAUGGAGCAACGCCGCGUGAGUGAAGAAGGCUUUCGGGUCGUAAAACUCUGUUAUUGAAGAAGAACGUGUGUGACAGUAACUGGUCAUGCAGUGACGGUAUUCAAUCAGAAAGUCACGGCUAACUACGUGCCAGCAGCCGCGGUAAUACGUAGGUGGCAAGCGUUGUCCGGAUUUAUUGGGC
rnacentral:rRNA from 1 species